rnacentral:rRNA from 1 species
UACGAAGGGGGCUAGCGUUGCUCGGAAUCACUGGGCGUAAAGCGCACGUAGGCGGGUCGUUAAGUCAGGGGUGAAAUCCUGGAGCUCAACUCCAGAACUGCCUUUGAUACUGGAGAGCUUGAGUUCGGGAGAGGUGAGUGGAACUGCGAGUGUAGAGGUGAAAUUCGUAGAUAUUCGCAAGAACACCAGUGGCGAAGGCGGCUCACUGGCCCGAUACUGACGCUGAGGCACGAAAGCGUGGGGAGCAAACAGG